rnacentral:sRNA from 1 species
AAAAAAAGCACCAUCGCCGCUGGGCAACG